AGGACGAACGCUGGCGGCGUGCUUAACACAUGCAAGUCGAGCGAACCUUUCGGGUUAGCGGCGAACGGGUGAGUAACACGUGGGCAACCUGCCCCGAGCUCUGGGAUAACUCCGGGAAACCGGGGCUAAUACCGGGAUAUGACCCGAGAAGACAUCUUCUCGGGUGGAAAGUUUUUCGGCUCGGGAUGGGCCCGCGGCCUAUCAGCUUGUUGGUGGGUAACGGCCUACCAAGGCGACGACGGGUAGCC
rnacentral:rRNA from 1 species